rnacentral:rRNA from 1 species
GCCUCCUACGGGAGGCAGCAGUGGGGAAUAUUGGGCAAUGGAGGAAACUCUGACCCAGCAAUGCCGCGUGAAUGAAGAAGGUCUUCGGAUUGUAAAGUUCUUUAGUCAGGGAAGAAGUCAAUGACGGUACCUGAAGAAUAAGCUCCGGCUAACUACGUGCCAGCAGCCGCGGUAAUACGUAGGGAGCAAGCGUUGUUCGGAAUGACUGGGCGUAAUGGUUGCGUAGGCGGUUGUACAAGUUUG